CGCAAGCUGCGCAGCGCCCGGCCUGUGGGCGUGUAUCCGCGGCCGUAGCAGCCGGGCUGGUCCUGCUGCGAGCCGGCGGCCUGGAGUGGGGCGGCGGAGCAAACAUGAAUGUUGGAGUUGCCCACAGUGAAGUGAAUCCAAAUACCCGUGUCAUGAACAGCCGGGGUAUGUGGCUGACAUAUGCAUUGGGAGUUGGCUUGCUUCAUAUUGUCUUACUCAGCAUUCCCUUCUUCAGUGUUCCUGUUGCUUGGACUUUAACAAAUAUUAUACAUAAUCUGGGGAUGUAUGUAUUUUUGCAUGCAGUGAAAGGAACACCUUUCGAAACUCCUGACCAGGGUAAAGCAAGGCUCCUAACUCAUUGGGAACAACUGGACUAUGGAGUACAGUUUACAUCUUCACGGAAGUUUUUCACAAUUUCUCCAAUAAUUCUAUAUUUUCUGGCAAGUUUCUAUACGAAGUAUGAUCCAACUCACUUCAUCCUAAACACAGCUUCUCUCCUGAGUGUGCUAAUUCCCAAAAUGCCACAGCUACAUGGUGUUCGGAUCUUUGGAAUUAAUAAGUAUUGAAAUGUUUUGAAACUGAACAAAAAUUUUUACAGCUGCUGAAUUUCUUAUAAGAAAGGAGUGUGAGAACAGAGAAGCCAGAUGAUUUAUUAGUUAUUGCUGGUAAAAAUAUAGAGAUCCUUUGAAACAUUUGUCUCUCCUAGAAUUCUCAUCAAACCAUAUGCUUCUAACACAUUACUUAACAGUCAUGGGGAGUAUGUGGGAACGACAAGAGACUCACCCUCUCCCUUCCCUGCCAAAACCACACAUAGACCCACACACUUGAAAAAUAAGGAAAUAAGAUCAUCUAGUAUGGAGAUUCCUCAAAAAUUAAAAUUAUAUCCAGCAGUUCCACUCCUGGGUAUAUACCAGAAGUGAAAGCAGGAACUUGGACAGAUAUUUGUACAUUUUUGUUCACAGCAGCAUUAUUCACAAUAGCCAGAAGAUGGAAGCAAUCCAAGUGUCCAUCAAGGGAUGAAUGGUUAAAAGAAAUGUGACAUAUACACACAAUGGAAUAUUAUCCAGCCUUAAAAAGGAAGAAAAUUCUGAUACAUAUUACAUCCUGGAUGAAUCUUGAAGACAUUAUGACGUGAAAUAAAUCACAAAAUGACACAUACUGUGUAAUCUCACUUUUAUGAAUUCCUAGAGUAAUCAAAUUCAAAGACAAAGUGGAAUGGUGGUUGCUAAGGGUUGGAAGGCAGAAGGAAUGGGAGCUUAUUGGUUUUUUGGUUUUCUUUUUUGCUUUUUGUUUUUUUUUUGAGAUGGAGUCUCCCUCUGUUGCCCAGGCUGGAGUGCAGUGGCACAAUCCCUGCUCACUGCAACCUCUGCUUCCCAGGUUCAAGUCAAUCUCAUGCCUCAGCCUCCCACGUAGCUGGGAUUACAGGCAUUCAUCACCACACCCAGGUAAUUUUUGUAUUUUUAGUAGAGACGGCCAUCAUGUUAGCCAGGCUGGUCUCGAACUCCUGACCCCAGGUAAUCCGCCCACCUCAGCCUCCCAAAGUGCUGGGGUUACAGGAGCAAGCCACUGUGCCCAGCUGGGAGCUUACUGUUUAAUGGGUACAGAAUUUCAGUUUGGGAAGAGGAAAAGGUUCUGGAGCUAGAUGGUAGUCAUGGUUGCAUAGCAAUGUGAAUGUACUUAGUUCCUUUGAACUUAAAACAUGGUUAAAAUGGUAAAUUUUGUUAUGUAAAUUCUACCGCAAUAAAGUUCAGAAAAGUUAAUUUGUAAAAUAAGCAUAAUGGCUCAGCAAACAAAACCCAAAAUAUCUUCCAAAGACCUGAUAGUAUUAUCACUAAUGAAAGAAUGUUCCACAUCAAGAGAUACUGGUCAGCAAAGAAAAUUUAACAGGAGAAAGGAUGGGCUGGCGCAGCGCAGUGGCUCAUGCCUGUAAUCCUGGCACUUUGGGAGGCCGAGGUGGGUGGAUCACGAGGUCAAGAGAUGGAGACCAUCCUGGCCAACAUGAUAAAACCCCAUCUCUACUAAAAAUACAAAAAUUAGCUGGGCAUGGUGGCGUGCGCCUGUAGUCUCAGCUACUCGGGAGGCUGAGGUAGGAGAAUCGCUUGAACCCGGGAGGCAGAGGUUGCAGUGAGCCGAGAUCACGCUAGUGCAAUCCAGCCUGGCAACAGAGCAAGACCUCGUCUCAAAAAAAAAGAAAGGAGAAAGGAAAAUGGCAAUGUAUUUUUAGCACUAGCCAACUCAAAGAAUGUAAGACACAUAUGUGACUCAAGUGGAAAGGGCUGCAUCAGGCUUGAAAUAUUAGCCAUUAAAAGCACCAAACUCAUGUCUAUUAAUAGUUUCCAUUCCAUAUUUACCAAGCAAUCUUCUGAUUAUAAUUUGGAUUUAGCCUUCAUUGUAAUUUGGUCAAUAGAAGGAAGAUAAUGACCGGCAAACUCAACUAUCCUCGCUCCCCCAUAAUUGCAUUUCUCAUAAACAAAUACAUUAGUAUUAAUGGCUUUUACACACCAUUUUAUUAGCAAUUUGUGGUGGGUAACUCAGUACUCCCGAGUCCAGUCACUUCCAGACCUGAUAAACCAAUUUUAAGCCUAUAAAAUAAUCAGAUAUUGAAACUCAAGUAAUCACACUAUGGGCCUGCCAGGCUGUGUAUACAUAUCUGUGGCAAGCCAACGUGGCUUUCCCCAAGUAAUACGCCUCUCUGAAUGCACUUUCCAUUCACAUUUCCAUAAUUCUGUAUUGCAUUUUGUCUUCUGCCUAUAGACUCAGAUCCUUGAGAACAGAGAAUGGACCUUAUCUGUAUCCUUAAUAACUAAUAAAGUUCCUAGCACAAAGGAAAUAACCCAAUAAAUAUGUAAUAAAUGAAAAUAAAACCUAACCUAGUAGAACAUAAUUAGGAAAUAAAUAUUGAAAAUUAAGAUUUGGGCCAGGCGCAGUGGCUCACGCCUGUAAUUCCAGCACUUUGGGAAGCCGAGGCAGCUGGAUCACAAGGUCAGGAGUUCAAAACCAGCCUAGCCAACAUAGUGAAAUGUCAUCCCUACUAAUAAUACAAAAAUUAGCUGGGCAUGGUGGGGGGCACCUGUAGUCCUAGCUACUCGGAAGGCUGAGGCAGGAGAAUCGCUUGAACCCAAGAGGUGGAGGUGGCAGUGAGCCGAGAUGGCACCACUGCACUCCAGCCUGGCGACAUAGUGAGACUCCAUCUAAAAAAAAAAGAAAAAUAAGAUUCUUCUAUGUAUUAAUAUAUAAUAUGUAUUAAUAAUACAAUUUUCCUCUGAAGGCUACAAAUGGAAAGUUAGACACGCAGUAUCUGAGACAAAAUAAGUAUAUCUAGAUUCAGCUGGAACUCUUGAUUUAUGUUGAGCUUACAUAGGCCGUAUUUGUUGAGAAUGCCCAUGAGUGGCAGCAUUCUAGCUGUAUCUGCAUAAAAGUAGACAGGACUCAGCAUACAUGCCUUUUCCCCAAUAACCCUCUCCUAUGUUACAAUAAGAACACAGAAAAUGUACACCUUUGCUAAAUACAUGUGACUUGUGUAAGUGUCACUUCACAUAUAUUCGGUCAAGGGAAAGAUAAAAUUCCUUACUAAUGUGCCCUAGAGUUCUCCUGUUUCACAUAAUACAGCAUUUGUACUCAACACUGGCCAAGAGUGCCUAGAUGAGGAAUCUACCAGUGAUAGCACACACAGGAUCUUGCUUGUCUUGACAGUACAGAAGAGCAUUGGGAUACACCUGCUGAACAUAAUUGGAAUUGUAAGAAAAAUAAUACCUGAUGUGAAAGGUUUUAUGUUCAAACUGGAUUCCAGUGUAUAACAGAAAUAACCUCUGACCCCUCUAACAGUAUGACUAAUUUUUCUUAACCUUUAGGUUUUAAUUUUUCUUUUUUUUCCUUUUUUAGGCCAACAGUGCACCCUAGAGAAAAUGUGAGUUAUUUUCUCUUCUAGCAGUUAAGAAAACAGACUCCAGUGCCAGAUGGCCUGACUUCUAAUCCUAGCUUUGCUUUUCCUAGUUGUGUGACCUCCAAAGCACCCAAACUCUGUGGCCCAGUUGCCUGUAAAAUGAGGACAGAAACUACUUCAUGGGAUUGUGAAAGAAAUUAAUCUACAACAGGUGCCUGGUACAUAGUGCCACUUUAUCAUUAUUGUUAUUGUUAUACAUAAAUGAAAUUUUUGAAAAACACAAAUUCCAACUAAAAAACCUCAACCAUA